AGUAACCUUUCAACAGAAGGAUGCGUGCGUGCGUGCGUGCAUGCGUGGGUGGGUGUAUUCCCUCGUGCGCAUGUGCAUGCCUGUGAAUGUAAGGUCAGAAAUUGACAUUGGGUGUCCUCCCCGAUUGCUUUUUGCCUCAUUUUUUGAGACAGGGUCUCCCACUCAUGUGGAACUCACUGUAUUGGAGCCUUGGGGGGGGCCAACAAGCCCCUAAGAUUCUCCUGUCUCCAUCCCUGUGUCACAGGGUUACCGAGGCAGAUGUGUGCCGCCAUGUUUGUUUUUUCACAGGAGUAAGAGAGUUUCAAACUUAGGCCCUUACGCCCACACGGCAAGCACUUUACUAACUGACCACCGACCUGGCUUCUAACAGGUGAAAUCUCAGGUCCAGUCAGGUUAAAAACCAAGAGCGAAUAAAAGAUCAUCGAGGCGGGUCUUAAAAGUUAGUUUGGCACAAGAACUAAGUUGAGGAAAUAAACUUUCUAUAAUUUCCUUUUAAUCAUGACUUACUCAAGAAACACGUUUUGUGGUGUGUCGAAUGUGUCAUUUGACACAUUUCAAAAUGUGUCAGAAGGAGUAAGCCAAAUCAUGACAAUGGAAGUUUACCUGGAAGAAAUGAAACCGAAAGCGCUCCUCACGUACCAAAUUCAGUGCAGGAGGAAGGAGGUGCUGAGCCUCUAAGUACUGCACAGCUUUAAAAUUACUCAAAUCACAUUCAUUUUGCCUCACAUUUUGCAUUAAAAAAUUGAAAAUGCAGAAACCAUCAGUCGGUGCAUUUCUGCAAACAGUGCCCUGCAGUUAAAUGGAAUCGCACCAACAUAAGCCUCAUUUGCAUCCCAAAUUUAUUUUAAAAAAAAAUCAAAAGAGUUUUUUAGAAAAAAAGAGUAUUAGGUUAACUCUACCCCCUACAGAAGCAGAUGCUAGCUGCUUCACAUCCAAACGCAUAUACAGGCCUUUUACACCAUGGUACCCACGGUGGUGAAGAUCAGUAUUCUUACCACCGCUAAGGCGUGGAUACAAAACCAUGCCAGAGAUGCUGGCUUAAAAAUGGUGGGAGUGUUCGACGCCAUUACCAGACAGUUCUGGGUACUGGCUAAUGUUAUGGAGACAGAAAUCGCAGAAAAUAAAACCGGCAAAGUAUUGUUAUUUCAACUGCAUGGCUGCACAGGUGUUACCACAACCAACCUUGUACUUAUGCUUUAAGUACGAUUGCCGUGGGAAGGAAAACGUCUUUCAUCUUCUUAGCCAAUAAAUACAUCUGUGAACUACAUAAAAAACCAGAAAGGAUUAUGUUGUCCGAGAAUGUGUCUGGCGUUCGGGAUUUUUGUAUUCUGAAGACACAGCUGCAGUUGCUGGAACACGGUCCGGGUUAGUUAGCCAGAGCAAGGACUGUGUGUAAAUCAGCAAGCCACUUCCUUCAUUAGGAGAGACAUUGAAAUCUGUGGAGCUGAAGUGCUACAGAAAGAGCACCUGAAUGGCCUUAUAACUCUAGAGAGCUAGUCGUUGGGGCUGGAUGUUGGUAAGGGGUUCAAAAAGAAUAUUGUUCCAUAUUCUGUAUAUAAAAAAAAUUAAAGUGACUGCCCAGCUUGCUGGAA